rnacentral:lncRNA from 1 species
UUUUUUUCUUUUUUCUUUUUUUUUUUCUUAUUGGCUAUGCUCGCAGCAUGUGAAAGUUCCCAGGCUAGGGAUCAAACCUACACCACAGCAGUGACAUGAGCCGCUACAGUGACAACACCAGAUCCUUAACCUGCUGCACCACAAAGGAACUCUCUGUCUAGACUUUUUUUUGACAUGGAACAUAUAUGACAAGAAUUUUUAAAAUUUACUUUUCUGAGAUGUAAUUUACACACACUAAAACACACUCGAUUUUAAGCGUGCAUUUCCAUGAAUCUUUUUUUUUUUUUGGCUUUUUAGGGGUGCACCUGCAGCAUAUGGGAGUUUCCAGGCUAGGGGUCAAAUCGGAGCUACAGCUGUCAGCCUACACCACAGCCACAGCAACGCCAGAUCCAAGCUGCAUCUGUGACCCACCCCACAGCUCACUGCAACGCCGGAUCCUUAACCCACUGAGCGAGGCCAGGGAUUGAACUCGCAACAUCAUGGGUUGGAUUAAUUUUUGCUGCACCACGACAGGAACUCCACCACAAAUCUUAAUAUUCAUCUAUGUAACCAUUACCACAGUCAAGUUAUAAAGCAUUUCUAUUGGUCUGAAAAAUUCCCUUUGGUCCUUUCCCAGUCAAUGCUUACCCCUAACCAUGGCCCCAGGAAACUAUUGAUCUCUUAACUGUCAUUAUAUGAUUAGUCUUUUCUAGAGUUUCAUAUAAAUUGAGUCCAUAUUAAUAGUCUGUGUCUGGUUUGUUUUAUUCAUGAAAAUUAUUUUACAAGUCAUCCAUAUUGUGUAUAUCAGUCGUUCUUUUAGUAUUCCAUUGCAUGUGAUGAAAUAAAAUUUAUAUUUUAAGGAGGACAAGAAAAAGAUUAAACCAUAAAAUUCUGUGUUGUUUGGGCCUCCUCUCUCCCUCCCUAACAUGUAGUGUGCACCUGCAUUACACAGUAACCGAGCCCCUCAAAGAUGGGAGUGCCUGCUCAACCAUAAAGAUCCGUUUUUGUUUUUCCUUUCUUCUAACCCUAGCAGUGUAACUUCUUAAAAGAAUAGUGUUCUUUCCCAGCUCUUUAAGGGGUCAUGGUGACUUAAUGCUCACUUUGUAGGUGCCUACUGGACUGUGUAUCCUUGGCGAACUUUAUGUAAAAUAUCAGUAUGUCAUUUUGAUAUAAGAUCCUUUGUCUCAAAGAUGUAUGCGACUAUGCCUUUGACUUCUAACAGGCCGAACUGUUCUCAGAGCUUUCUGAGAGUCUGCUUCCCAGGUUAUAAUCCUCGUUUGGCUCGAAUAAAAUUCCCUUUUUUCCUUCUUAACUGGAUAGUUAAUUUUCAUCAACACAUUGGAUAUACCUCAAUUUGUUUUACCAUUCACCUUUUUUAAAAAUUUAUUUUUUAAAUGAUUUUUAUUUUUUCCAUUAUAGUUGGUUUACAGUGUUCUGUGAAUUUUCUACCGUACAGCAAGGUGACCCAGUCACACAUACAUAUAUACAUUCACCUUUCGGUGGACAUUUGUGUAUUUUUCACUUUUUGGCUAUUCUGAAUAAAGCCGGUGUGACCUCAUAUACACAUCUUUGUGUGGGCAUAUGUUUUUCCACCUGUGAGUAGAAUGACUGGAUCGUAUAGUAAAUAUAUAUUGCUAGUAGGUGCUCAAGAUUCAUUAGGAGGAAUGCUUACCUAAUAUAUCUUACUCUAUCCUUUAACUUUUACUUUUUUUUUUUUUUUUUUUUUGUCUUUUUAGGGCCGCACCCACAGCCUAUGAAUGUUCCCAGGCUAGGGGUUAAAUCAGAGCCACACUGCCAGCCUAUGCCACAGCCACAGCAACUCCAGAUCUGGGCUGCAUCUGUGACCUACAUCACGGCUCACAGCAAUGCCGGAUCCUUAACCUGCUAAGCGAGGCCAGGGAUAGAACCUUUGUCCUCAUGGAUACUAGUCAGAUCAUUUCUGCUGAGCCAUGAUGGGAACUUUUACUUUUUUUUGGCUGCACCUGUGGCAUGUAGAAAUUCCUGGCCCAGAGAUUGAAUCCAUGCCACACCAGUGACCAGAGCCACAGCAAUGACAAUGCCAGAUCCUUAAUGCACUAGGCCAUCAGGGAACUUCUAUCCUUUUACUAUUAAUUGAUCUGUGUCUUUAAAGGGACAUUUCUUGUAGCCAGCAUAUCAUUAGCUAUCGCUUUUUAAAUCUAGUCAGAUUAUCUCUGCCUGUCAAUUGGAGUGUUUAAUCACUUGCAUUUAAUGCACUUGUCAAUAUGGUUAGGUUUUAAAUCUAUCAUCUUAUUGUGCUCUGUUUGUCAGCUGUUCCUUGUUGCUUUUAUCCUCUUUUCCUGCCUUCUUUUUAGUAUCCAUUUGAUCUCUACCACUGCCUUCACAUAUGCAAAAUUUCCCCCCUUUUUAUGGUGGUUUUAAGGCAGUGUUUCUCAACAAGGAGUGAUUUUGCCCCUCAAGGAAUAUUUGGAUAAUGUCCAAGACAUUUUUGGUGUCACAACUGGGGUGCGGGUAGGGCUACUCUUGGCAUCUAAUAGGUAGAGACCAGGGCUGCUGCUAAACCUCUUGUCACGCACAGGGUAAUGCCCCCUCCCCCAACAAGAAAGAAUUAUCCAGUCCCAAAAGCCAGUGGUGCUGAAAUUAAGAAACCCUGAAUUUGAAUUUAUCGCAGUUUAACUUCAAAUAAUAAUAUGCCACUUCACAUAUAAUGUAGGAGUCUUAGGAGGGUAUACUUCCAUUCACCUUUCCUGUCCUUUGUGUAAGGUAACAUCAUUUUAUAUUAUAUGUGUAAUAAGCCCUGCAGUGCUUUAUUAGAUUUAUGAUUAUCUUUUUAAGAAAUCAGAGCAUGAGGUAAAAUAAGUACUUACCUAAUAUUUCCAUUUUGGUGCUGCUCUUCCUUCCUUUGUUUAGCUCUAGGUUUCUAUCUGGUAGUAUUUUUCUUCCUGCAGAAGGAUUUCUUUAACAUUUCUUUGUAGGGAACAUCUGCUAGCAGUAAAUUAUCUAAGCCUCUGUUCAUCUGUUUCAACUAUUUUUGAAUAAUAUUUUCAUUGGUUAUAGAAUUCUGGAUUGACAGUUUACUUUUUCCUUUCAUAUUUCAAAGAUGCCAUCGUGUUGUCUUCUGUCUUGUACAUUUCUGACACGAAGUCUGUGUAAAUUCUUAACUUUAUUCAGCUAAGUCAUUUUUUCCCCUACAGCUACUAUUAAAAUGUUUCUCUUUAUCACUGUUUUAUUAGCAACUUAAUUACAGUGUGUCUUGGUGUGUAUUGUUUUGUCUUGCUUUUGCUUUGGCAUGUGUUAACCUUCUUGGGUUUUGUUGACAUUUUUGGACUUGUGGGCUUAUAGGUUUUAUUGAAUUUAAAAGAUUUUCAGGCAUUAUUUCAAUUUUCUUGUCCUCUUCUCCUCCUUCUGGGACUCAAAUUAUAUAUGUAUGUUGGACUGUUUGAUUUUGUCACACAGAUUAUCAAGAAUUUGUCAACUUUUUUCAGUCUUUUUUCUCUCGCUGUCUCACUUUAGGUAAUUUCUAUCAUUCUGGCUUUAAUUUUAAUACUUUCUUUAGCAGUGUCUAAUAUGCAUUAGUCCCAUACAGCCAAUUAUUUUUUUUCAAAUAUUAUACUUUUCAUCUCUAGAAAUCCUGUUUGGUUCUUUUUUUUUUAUAUUUUCAAUUUCUCUCUAAAUGUUCAUGUUUUUCUUUGAAUAAACAUAUUUAUCAUAGCCAUUUUAACAUCUUUGCUGCUAGUUCCAUUAUCUGUGCUAUUCUAAACCUUUCUAUUGACUGAUUUUCCUCUUAAUUAUGGGUAACGUUUUGCUGCUUCCUAAGCAUGCCUUGUGAUUUAUUAUUGGAUGUUGAAUAUUGGUAAUGGUGGUUAGUUCAGAUAACUUUUGAAUUCCAGCUGUUACUUAGAAGUGAGAAGGACAAUUUUUCCUAGUCUCGUGGCCUAAUAUAUAUUUAUCAUUAAAUAAAUUGAGAGAUUUGUAGGAUAUUUAAAAGAACUCACAGGUUAUAUCCAGCCUUAUUCUCCUUGCUGUCGGAAAUUAAAACUGCUUGAAAGUUAGUAUGAUUACUCCUGCGCUCGGUUUCGUUUUGCUUUUUGGAUCUAGAUCAACCACACUUUUUUGUCUUGCGUUGCCUUGACUUUGGCAAAUUCAGUACCUAGUGAAAUCACAAAUAAAUCUGGUGACAUUAAUAAAGUGCUUCAUUUUUAGGUGAAAAAUAUCUUUUUUCUUUUUGUCUUUUUGGGACCGCACCUGCAGCAUAUGGAAGUUCCCAGGCUAGUGGUCAAAUCAGAGCUACAGCUGUCAGCCUACACCACAGCCACAGCAACGCCAGAUCCGAGCUGCAACUGCGACCUACACUGCAGCUCAUGGCAGCACCAGAUCCUUAACCCACCGAGCAAAGCCAGGGAUCAAACCCGUGUCUUCAUGGAUAUUAGUUGGGUUCGUUACCACUGAGCCACAACGGGAAUUCCAAAAAUAUCAUUUUUAAGAAGUCAAACUACAGCUACUUGACAUUUUUUUCACAAGAUACAGUGCGUCUGUUGCUG